AUGUUUCUAUCAUAUAUAUGUCAUAUAAUGCUUCUUUCUUUGACAGUUCAAAAUUUAAUAAAAAUUUCGUUAAAAGCCAAAAAUUUAAAUAAAGAUGAAUAGAAGCGACGUUGGUGAUAAAACCACGCGAAAAUGCACACCACGGCCAUUGAACAAGAGAGCACAUUCCUUCAGCCCAAGUAGUCUUAGAACCCCGAGUCCUAAUUCGAUUGAUAAAAGCGGAAAAGAGAGAAGAUGCCGAAGUCUUAAUCCUCAACAAAUCCAAAAGCCGAUGGAGCCGACAAAAGAUAAAAAUACAAUAUACGGCAAGGAAUUUAUGUCAGCGCCAGAAAAACUAGAUUCGAUGAUAGAGAGUUUUCAAAAUAGCAUGAACCACGAAACAG